rnacentral:rRNA from 1 species
GUAAGGAAUAUUGGUCAAUGGACGCAAGUCUGAACCAGCCAUGCCGCGUGGAGGAUGAAGGUCCUCUGGAUUGUAAACUUCUUUUAUUUGGGACGAAAAAGGGUCUUUCUAGAUCAACUGACGGUACCAGAUGAAUAAGCACCGGCUAACUCCGUGCCAGCAGCCGCGGUAAUACGGAGGGUGCAAGCGUUAUCCGGAUUUACUGGGUUUAAAGGGUGCGCAGGCGGAUAUGUAAGUCAGUGGUGAAAUCUUUGGGCUUAACCCGAAAAUUGCCAUUGAUACUAUAUAUCUUGAAUGCUGUGGAGGUAAGCGGAAUAUGUCAUGUAGCGGUGAAAUGCUUAGAUAUGACAUAGAACACCUAUUGCGAAGGCAGCUUACUACGCAGAUAUUGACGCUCAUGCACGAAAGCGUGGGGAUCAAACAGGAUUAGAAACCCGGGUAGUCC